rnacentral:misc_RNA from 1 species
GCUCAGUGUUGCAUUACUGGUCGUUUUUGUGGAAAAAGGUUUUCGACAUUACAAGUCUCUAGCUGCCACUAAGAGCAUGGGCGAUAAUGGAUUCGAAAGUAAUUCAUCUUCUAAAAGACUUACUCUCCAUCUCAUGUUCAUUGAAACGAAUUUCGAAAUAACAUUCACCUGUGUGAUUUUUACUAUUGCGUUCUUUGGCGUCUUUGGAAAUCUUGCAGCUAUCGGUAAAAUCAUAUACGAUCCGAAAUACCAUACACCAACAUUUGCUGUUAUCGGACAGUUGGCUUUAGCAGAUUUCCUUUCAGUAACGUGUGUUAUUUUCGGGCGUAUGACGAACAUCUUGCAAGUAUGGUCGUUUUUUGUAUUUAUCUGGAAUGUAGCAGUUUUCAGUUCUUACUUUCAUGUGUGUUUACUUUCCGGUGUAAGAUAUUUAAUCACUGUAUACCCCCUACAAAGCAGACAGCAUCUGACUGUAACAGCGGUAUGUUUGUGUUCACUCACAAUAUGGAUAUCAUGCAGUGUACCUGGAGCUGUAUUUUAUAUACUUACGAUAUUAAAUGGAACAUAUGCCAGCAAUAUUUGUAUCAUUAUUAUCGAUGUCGUUUUAUUGUUGACAGUUUGUAUUAUAAUGAUCUUCCUACAUGUUAAAAAAGUAAGAACAUUACAAAAUUCUUUGUCUGUAACAGAACAAUCACAAAGAAGAAUGAAUGUCGUUGUCACUGUGAUCAUUGGUAUAUUUGCAUUACAUCAUUUGAUGAUAAUUUCAGGGGGCAUAAUUGUCCUAUCAUUUCAACCACUUUCAGAUGAAAAAUUUAACUUUCUUAUCUACUUAUAUUAUUUUAAAAUUCUUAUGGGAUGUUUAAACUUUUCUUGCAACCCUUAUAUACUAUUUUUUUCACAGUUUAUCUAGGUCUUUGCGCUAAGUAAUCUUUUGUGUACAGCACUACAUGCUAUAUUCAACAUCCAUGAUUGUGUGUCAUAUGAUAUUUUAGGAUAGUUUUUGAUUUGUAUCACAAGUAUCCCGUGUAUUUGAAAAUAAAUCUCUAAAUAGAAGAGUUUUU